UACGGGGGGGGCAAGCGUUGUUCGGAAUUACUGGGCGUAAAGGGCGCGUAGGCGGCCCGCUAAGUCAGACGUGAAAUCCCUCGGCUCAACCGGGGAACUGCGUCUGAUACUGGCGGGCUUGAAUCCGGGAGAGGGAUGUGGAAUUCCAGGUGUAGCGGUGAAAUGCGUAGAUAUCUGGAGGAACACCGGUGGCGAAGGCGGCAUCCUGGACCGGUAUUGACGCUGAGGCGCGAAAGCCAGGGGAGCAAACGGG
rnacentral:rRNA from 1 species